UGAGCAAUCUGCCCUUCACAUUGGAAUAACCAUUGGAAACGAUGGCUAAUACCGAAUAUGACUUCGGAUCGCAUGAUCUGAAGUGGAAAGCUCCGGCGGUGAAGGAUGAGCUCGCGGCCUAUCAGCUUGUUGGUGAGGUAAUAGCUCACCAAGGCGAUGACGGGUAGCCGGCCUGAGAGGGUGACCGGCCACACUGGGACUGAGACACGGCAGA
rnacentral:rRNA from 1 species